GAUGAACGCUGGCGGCGUGCCUAAUACAUGCAAGUCGAACGCUUUGUGGUUCAACUGAUUUGAAGAGCUUGCUCAGAUAUGACGAUGGACAUUGCAAAGAGUGGCGAACGGGUGAGUAACACGUGGGAAACCUACCUCUUAGCAGGGGAUAACAUUUGGAAACAGAUGCUAAUACCGUAUAACAAUGACAACCGCAUGGUUGUUAUUUAAAAGAUGGUUCUGCUAUCACUAAGAGAUGGUCCCGCGGUGCAUUAGCUAGUUGGUAAGGUAAUGGCUUACCAAGGCGAUGAUGCAUAGCCGAGUUGAGAGACUGAUCGGCCACAAUGGGACUGAGACACGGCCCAUACUCCUACGGGAGGCAGCAGUAGGGAAUCUUCCACAAUGGGCGAAAGCCUGAUGGAGCAACGCCGCGUGUGUGAUGAAGGGUUUCGGCUCGUAAAACACUGUUGUAAGAGAAGAAUGACAUUGAGAGUAACUGUUCAAUGUGUGACGGUAUCUUACCAGAAAGGAACGGCUAAAUACGUGCCAGCAGCCGCGGUAAUACGUAUGUUCCAAGCGUUAUCCGGAUUUAUUGGGCGUAAAGCGAGCGCAGACGGUUAUUUAAGUCUGAAGUGAAAGCCCUCAGCUCAACUGAGGAAUUGCUUUGGAAACUGGAUGACUUGAGUGCAGUAGAGGAAAGUGGAACUCCAUGUGUAGCGGUGAAAUGCGUAGAUAUAUGGAAGAACACCAGUGGCGAAGGCGGCUUUCUGGACUGUAACUGACGUUGAGGCUCGAAAGUGUGGGUAGCAAACAGGAUUAGAUACCCUGGUAGUCCACACCGUAAACGAUGAGUGCUAGGUGUUUGAGGGUUUCCGCCCUUAAGUGCCGCAGCUAACGCAUUAAGCACUCCGCCUGGGGAGUACGACCGCAAGGUUGAAACUCAAAGGAAUUGACGGGGACCCGCACAAGCGGUGGAGCAUGUGGUUUAAUUCGAAACAACGCGAAGAACCUUACCAGGUCUUGACAUCCCUUGACAACUCCAGAGAUGGAGCGUUCCCUUCGGGGACAAGGUGACAGGUGGUGCAUGGUUGUCGUCAGCUCGUGUCGUGAGAUGUUGGGUUAAGUCCCGCAACGAGCGCAACCCUUAUUACUAGUUGCCAGCAUUCAGUUGGGCACUCUAGUGAGACUGCCGGUGACAAACCGGAGGAAGGUGGGGAUGACGUCAAAUCAUCAUGCCCCUUAUGACCUGGGCUACACACGUGCUACAAUGGCGUAUACAACGAGUUGCCAACCCGCGAGGGUGAGCUAAUCUCUUAAAGUACGUCUCAGUUCGGAUUGUAGGCUGCAACUCGCCUACAUGAAGUCGGAAUCGCUAGUAAUCGCGGAUCAGCACGCCGCGGUGAAUACGUUCCCGGGUCUUGUACACACCGCCCGUCACACCAUGAGAGUUUGUAACACCCAAAGCCGGUGGGGUAACCUUCGGGAGCCAGCCGUCUAAGGUGGGACAGAUGAUUAGGGUG
rnacentral:rRNA from 1 species